rnacentral:sRNA from 1 species
UUUGUCGCGUUCGCCUGCAGCGAGAUUCCGUGCAAAGUUUGAUUUUGUGUGUUUUCAGAAGUUCAACGAGUUUCUGAGUUUUCGAAGUGCGUGCACACAUUUAGAUUAUUAAAACACCUUGCCAAAUAUACAUAUAUUUUUUUCGAGUGCUUGGGUAUGUGAUUUGUCGAAAGAAUCGUGUCAAACACAAGUAGAGUGCGGCCCUAUACUUGUAAUUCAGCGAACUUGCAUAUCUCUUAUAUUUAAUGUUUGUAAUUCCUUUUAGAGCGCCACUCGUACAGCUGUUGGUAUCGUAAAGUUUGAUUGACAGUUACCAGUAUAUCAGCUGCAGCGUGCAUCAGUCAAUACAAAAGCCGAAGCCCCGCUCUGGCCAGGACAACAGCAAUAAGUGCGCAACACCAAUGCGUCCCAUCAACACAGCUCAGCAUGGAGCAGUGUAACUAGAGCGCGCACAUCCAACAGUCGGCCAACCAGGUGGACAGCGAAUAGCGGAAGCAAUACCUUCAAAGUCUAAAGCCGUCGCAACCAAGGCCGUCAAAUUGGAAGGAAAACGCCUUUUCACGGCAGUUAACAAGUUUUUAACUGGUUCAACAAUUGCCCGCGAGCUGAGGCAGCUAAUGACGAAGAACGCGC